AGACCCGAAACCCGGUGAUCUAGCCAUGGGCAGGUUGAAGGUUGGGUAACACUAACUGGAGGACCGAACCGACUAAUGUUGAAAAAUUAGCGGAUGACCUGUGGCUGGGGGUGAAAGGCCAAUCAAACCGGGAGAUAGCUGGUUCUCCCCGAAAGCUAUUUAGGUAGCGCCUCGUGAAUUCAUCUCCGGGGGUAGAGCACUGUUUCGGCUAGGGGGCCAUCCCGGCUUACCAACCCGAUGCAAACUGCGAAUACCGGAGAAUGUUAUCACGGGAGACACACGGCGGGUGCUAACGUCCGUCGUGAAGAGGGAAACAACCCAGACCGCCAGCUAAGGUCCCAAAGUCAUGGUUAAGUGGGAAACGAUGUGGGAAGGCCCAGACAGCCAGGAUGUUGGCUUAGAAGCAGCCAUCAUUUAAAGAAAGCGUAAUAGCUCACUGGUCGAGUCGGCCUGCGCGGAAGAUGUAACGGGGCUAAACCAUGCACCGAAGCUGCGGCAGCGACACUCAGGUGUUGUUGGGUAGGGGAGCGUUCUGUAAGCCUGCGAAGGUGGCCUGUGAGGGUUGCUGGAGGUAUCAGAAGUGCGAAUGCUGACAUAAGUAACGAUAAAGCGGGUGAAAAGCCCGCUCGCCGGAAGACCAAGGGUUCCUGUCCAACGUUAA
rnacentral:rRNA from 1 species